GACGAACGCUGGCGGCGUGCUUAACACAUGCAAGUCGAACGAAGAGGCGAAAGGGUGAGUAAUACGUGGGUAACCUGCCCUCCUGUGUGGGAUACACCUUGGAAACGGGGUCUAAUACCGCAUAAAGGUGGAUGGGCUCGCGGCCGCUGGGCUUGUUGGUGGUGUGAUGGCCUACCAAGGCGGUGACGGGUAGCCGGCCUGAGAGGGUGACCGGCCAUAUUGGGACGGAGAUACGGCCCAGGGUCCUACGGGAGGGAGCAGUGGGGGAUAUUGCACAAGGGGCGAAAGCCUGAUGCGGCGUCGCCGCGUGGGGGAUGAAGGCUUUCGGGUUGUAAACCUCUGUCGCUAGCGAACGGGUAGGUGGAGAGGAAGCGCCGGCUAACUACGUGCCAGCAGCCGCGGUAAUAC
rnacentral:rRNA from 1 species